AGUACAAUUCAUAUCGGGUGAUAAUUGUACAGGGUGCAUCGGGCUAUGUCGAACAGGUAUAGGUGUGUUUGUGUUGGUAAGUUCAGGACGAUGGUGAGACGGCCUUUGUGGGAGUGAGAUAAACUCACGCACACCGAGCCCGACCGGCCAAGAUCCUGCGCAAACUAAAAGCGAUGACGUCCGUGGUGUCCAACUGUGAUUUUACCAUCGACACUACCUGGUCAACGGUGACGGUUUUAGCUAACUUAGACAGAUGUAGCCACAUAUAGUUUGCUCUUGGUAGUUGUGACACGGUUGGGAUCGACGUGGUGGUGGUAUCGGUUCCUAUUAUUAUUGGUGGUAGUGAAGGGCGAUUUCUUUGGUGAGUAUUGUCGGUGUCUGUAUUUACAGGGUAUAGUGGAGCAUUGUCAACAACAAUGGCUUCCGUGGAUGCAACAACGUCACGGAACAACCUUCUACGCUUUCCACUCGGGAGGGCAUCUGGGGGCGAUACGUUGAAGCGUUCGCUAGGAGCUUGGUGAGCCGCGGCAAAACUGGCAAAGCCCUCACGGAUUUCGUGCAUCACAGGCGGGACUAAAGCAGCUUUCAUCACCUCGACAGCGGCAGUAAGAGCCGCCUGGAAGCCGACCUGCAUACCCGUUGUUUUAACUGCUUUACUAUGUGGGUUGCCAAGAGCAUUCGAACACCUUACACAGCUCCAAUGAAGAGAUGCCGUCCGUUUUACCUCUUCGAUCACAGUGAAAGUUGCCGUUGCAGAUAGAUGCCACAGGACUCAGGAACAAACGCAGGAAUACAGCAAAGUCAGGAAUGGUUGUGGCGAACAAUUGAAGGCAGGACUACCAGAGACAGCUUAUGUCACAGCUAAGCGGCAGUUUGACGAAAAUUAGGUCGAGACAACAAAAUAAUUCACGAAUUUACGCGGAGCACAGUGAGAAAACACACUCAGUCGUCAGCUGUCAACUGUCAACUGUGUUAUUUUAAAACUUGUUGGUGGAGGGUAUAUCAUAGUAUAUAUGUAGGAAAUAGGAGACAGUUGUCAGUUGUCAGACAAGGGAAGUGAGACGAGUGUCAAGGAAUGAAUUUAGGAUCACCCUGUGCUGAUGUCAAUCGAACUGACGACGCAGUAGGUUUAGCUAGAGCGAAACAUUCACGCGGGAGAAGCCAAGCGAAGCAGACGAAAGUGAAUAAGUGAACUGUAAAACCAUCUCUUUCCGCGUACCCUCUUUUCUUCUACGUUCUACAUGGGGGCUCAACCGGGAUGAGGCUAAGCAAAGUGAUGAGUUUACAGUUAUGAAAAGUUGCAUAAUGUCUUAAAGUUGAUAAAGUUGUUCAUGUCGUAAUGUUGAUAAAGUUGUAAAGUUGUUAAAGUCGUUCAAGUCGUAAAGUUAGUAAAGUUGUUAAGUUGCAGUAGUGGUUCGAAUUGGAAAAGUUGAAUUAGUUGGUGUUUCAUCCGAUGUGAAAGUGUGAAUUUGUGCCGAAAAGUUGACGUUGUGACGCAUAAAGGUUGUUAAAGUUGCGAUUGUGACGUUGUAAAGUGUGUUUAAAUAAAAGCUAAAGUUGUG